rnacentral:tRNA from 1 species
GGGGAUUUAGCUCAGUGGUAUGAGUAUCUGCCUGGCAAGCACAUGAGUUCAAUCCUCC